rnacentral:rRNA from 1 species
GACGAACGCUAGCGGCGUGCUUAACACAUGCAAGUCGAACGGAAAGGCCCUGCUUUUGUGGGGUGCUCGAGUGGCGAACGGGUGAGUAACACGUGAGUAACCUGCCCUUGACUUUGGGAUAACUUCAGGAAACUGGGGCUAAUACCGGAUAGGAGCUCCUGCUGCAUGGUGGGGGUUGGAAAGUUUCGGCGGUUGGGGAUGGACUCGCGGCUUAUCAGCUUGUUGGUGGGGUAGUGGCUUACCAAGGCUUUGACGGGUAGCCGGCCUGAGAGGGUGACCGGCCACAUGGGGACGGAGAAACGGCCCAGACGCCUACGGGAGGCAGCAGUGGGGAAUAUUGCACAAGGGGCGGAAGCCUGAUGCAGCAACGCCGGGUGCGGGAUGACGGCCUUCGGGUGGUAAACCGCUUUCGCCUGUGACGAAGCGUGAGUGACGGUAAUGGGUAAAGAAGCACCGGCUAACUACGU